CCAAAACUGCCUCACCUCUGCGCAGCCGCUGCAAAGUUGAAGACUCAAGAAUAAUGGGAAAGGAAGAAAUGAUGGAUCUUCGAAACCAGCUGCAAAUCGAAGUUGAAAGUAUUGCUCGCUGGAAAGCUUCUACAGAGGU